ACCACAAAACCAGGAGUGCAUGAAUAUGCGCACUCCUGGGACAACACAUGACACAUGAAACAAGUUAACAAGGUAGUAGUCACUAGUCUGUAAGUGUUCUUGCAGCUAACUCCAACUCUUUCCUCGUGUCAGCCUCUUACUGUCUAUAGAAUCCCUGAGGUGCAGUAGAGGAACCGAGGCUGGUAGUGCGGACUCAUAGAAGCUGUGCACACAAACAAACACACUGGUAGCUGAGAAGCAUCAUGCGACAUUAUAUUCAGAUGAUUCCUACAGAGAGAAAUUGAACAGUGAACAAUGAUUCUGAACAAUGUCACUGAAUGUAUGAUUUGGUUGUUACAAUUACCAAAGUGAACCCACACUAGUACAAUAUGACAUUUUUUUUUCAGUUA